rnacentral:rRNA from 1 species
GGGUUGUGAGGUUAAGCGACUAAGCGUACACGGUGGAUGCCCUGGCAGUCAGAGGCGAUGAAGGACGUGCUAAUCUGCGAUAAGCGCCGGUAAGGUGAUAUGAACCGUUAUAACCGGCGAUUUCCGAAUGGGGAAACCCAGUGUGACUCGUCACACUAUCAUUAACUGAAUCCAUAGGUUAAUGAGGCGAACCGGGGGAACUGAAACAUCUAAGUACCCCGAGGAAAAGAAAUCAACCGAGAUUCCCCCAGUAGCGGCGAGCGAACGGGGAGGAGCCCAGAGCCUGAAUCAGCAUGUGUGUUAGUGGAAGCGUCUGGAAAGGCGCGCGAUACAGGGUGACAGCCCCGUACACAAAAGCGCAUGUGCUGUGAGCUCGAUGAGUAGGGCGGGACACGUGGUAUCCUGUCUGAAUAUGGGGGGACCAUCCUCCAAGGCUAAAUACUCCUGACUGACCGAUAGUGAACCAGUACCGUGAGGGAAAGGCGAAAAGAACCCCGGCGAGGGGAGUGAAAAAGAACCUGAAACCGUGUACGUACAAGCAGUGGGAGCACCCUUUGGGGUGUGACUGCGUACCUUUUGUAUAAUGGGUCAGCGACUUAUAUUCUGUAGCAAGGUUAACCGUAUAGGGGAGCCGGAGGGAAACCGAGUCUUAAUUGGGCGUUAAGUUGCAGGGUAUAGACCCGAAACCCGGUGAUCUAGCCAUGGGCAGGUUGAAGGUUGGGUAACACUAACUGGAGGACCGAACCGACUAAUGUUGAAAAAUUAGCGGAUGACCUGUGGCUGGGGGUGAAAGGCCAAUCAAACCGGGAGAUAGCUGGUUCUCCCCGAAAGCUAUUUAGGUAGCGCCUCGUGAAUUCAUCUCCGGGGGUAGAGCACUGUUUCGGCUAGGGGGCCAUCCCGGCUUACCAACCCGAUGCAAACUGCGAAUACCGGAGAAUGUUAUCACGGGAGACACACGGCGGGUGCUAACGUCCGUCGUGAAGAGGGAAACAACCCAGACCGCCAGCUAAGGUCCCAAAGUCAUGGUUAAGUGGGAAACGAUGUGGGAAGGCCCAGACAGCCAGGAUGUUGGCUUAGAAGCAGCCAUCAUUUAAAGAAAGCGUAAUAGCUCACUGGUCGAGUCGGCCUGCGCGGAAGAUGUAACGGGGCUAAACCAUGCACCGAAGCUGCGGCAGCGACACUGUGUGUUGUUGGGUAGGGGAGCGUUCUGUAAGCCUGUGAAGGUGGCCUGUGAGGGUUGCUGGAGGUAUCAGAAGUGCGAAUGCUGACAUAAGUAACGAUAAAGCGGGUGAAAAGCCCGCUCGCCGGAAGACCAAGGGUUCCUGUCCAACGUUAAUCGGGGCAGGGUGAGUCGACCCCUAAGGCGAGGCCGAAAGGCGUAGUCGAUGGGAAACGGGUUAAUAUUCCCGUACUUGGUGUUACUGCGAAGGGGGGACGGAGAAGGCUAUGUUGGCCGGGCGACGGUUGUCCCGGUUUAAGCGUGUAGGCUGGUUUUCCAGGCAAAUCCGGAAAAUCAAGGCUGAGGCGUGAUGACGAGGCACUACGGUGCUGAAGCAACAAAUGCCCUGCUUCCAGGAAAAGCCUCUAAGCAUCAGGUAACAUCAAAUCGUACCCCAAACCGACACAGGUGGUCAGGUAGAGAAUACCAAGGCGCUUGA